rnacentral:lncRNA from 10 species
CUUCUAUGUGUGUCUAGUAGAAUUUGGCUGUGCAUCUACCUGCUCCAGGGCUUUUUCUUGGUUGCCAGGUGAAGAUUUUCCUGCUUCCCCAUUGCCUUCUGCCAUGAUUGUAAGUUCCCCGAGGCCUCCUCAGCCAUGCUUCCCAAACAGCCUGUGGAACGUGCACACAGAGAAAAGGCCAUGUGAUGACCUGGUGAGAAGGUGGCAAUCUGCAAGCCAAGAAGAGGGCUUUCACCGGAAACAAACUCUUCCAGAUCUUAAUUGUGGAUUUCUAGCCUCCAGAAUGAUAUUCUUUCAGAUACUGUGUACUGAUGAAACUGCUGACUCAGCUGGUCUGAAGGACCCCACUGGCACUGGCUGGUCUGAAGGACCCUGCUGAUCACAACUUGCCUGAAGGACCCUACUGACAUCAGCUGUUGUCCAAAGGACGCCACAAGAAACUGACUCACCAAAAAAUGCAUCCUGAUGAUUUCAUCCCCCUUAACCCGACCAAUCAACAACCCCAAAUCUACACAGCCCCUUUCCCUCCAUGAUUCCUACAAAACUCCAGCCCAGAACUCCUCAGGGAGAUGGAUUUGAAGGUCUCCUCCCUUCUACUUGCUUGAUGCCCUAUUAUUAUUAAACUCUUUGCUACAAACCCUGCUG